rnacentral:RNase_P_RNA from 1 species
GGAGUUGGCCAAGCAAUCGCCGCCUAAUGUAUUAGGGGGAGGAAAGUCCGGGCUCCAUAGGGCAGGGUGCCAGGUAAUACCUGGGCGGUGUGAACCGACGACCAGUGCAACAGAGAGCAAACCGCCGAUGGCUGCUUGGCAGCACAGGUAAGGGUGAAAGGGUGCGGUAAGAGCGCACCGCGCGACUGGUAACAGUUCGUGGCACGGUAAACUCCACCCGGAGCAAGGCCAAAUAGGAACUCAUUGGCGCGGCCCGCGUUGAGUUCGGGUAGGCUGCUUGACAGUUAAGGCGACUUAACUGCUAGACGAAUGAUUGCUCACGACAGAACCCGGCUUAUCGGCCAACUCCAACU